AACGAACGCUGGCGGCAUGCCUAACACGUGCAAGUCGAACGAGACCUUCGGGUCUAGUGGCGCACGGGUGCGUAACGCGUGGGAACCUGCCCUUAGGUUCGGAAUAACUCCCCGAAAGGGGUGCUAAUACCGGAUAAUGUCUUCGGACCAAAGAUUUAUCGCCUUUGGAUGGGCCCGCGUUGGAUUAGCUAGUUGGUAGGGUAAAAGCCUACCAAGGCGACGAUCCAUAGCUGGUCUGAGAGGAUGAUCAGCCACACUGGGGCUGAGACACGGCCCAGACUCCUACGGGAGGCAGCAGUGGGGAAUAUUGGACAAUGGGCGAAAGCCUGAUCCAGCAAUGCCGCGUGAGUGAUGAAGGCCUUAGGGUUGUAAAGCUCUUUUACCCGGGAUGAUAAUGACAGUACCGGGAGAAUAAGCUCCGGCUAACUCCGUG
rnacentral:rRNA from 1 species